rnacentral:rRNA from 1 species
GAUGAACGCUGGCGGCGUGCCUAAUACAUGCAAGUUGUGCGGUAACAGAGAGAGCUUGCUCUCUGCUGACGAGCGGCGGACGGCAGAGUAACGCGUAGGAACAUACCCCAAACUGAGGGAUAACUGCUCGAAAGAGUAGCUAAUACCGCAUGUGGUCUUCGGAUUAAAAGCUUCGGCGGUUUGGGAGUGGCCUGCGUCCGAUUAGCUAGUUGGUGAGGUAAUUGCUCACCAAGGCGACGAUCGGUAGCUGGUCUGAGAGGAUGAUCAGCCUGACUGGAACUGAGAACGGUCCAGACUCCUACGGGAGGCAGCAGUAGGGAAUUUUCCACAAUGGGCGAAAGCCUGAUGGAGCAACGCCGCGUGCAGGAUGAAUGCCUUCGGGUUGUAAGCUGCUUUCUGUGUGAAGAAUAUGACGGUACACAGGAAUAAGGGUCGGCGUAACUACGUGCCAGCAGCCGCGGUAAU